AUACGGAUUGUGAUUAAACUUUCCAAAAAUUUCAAGUCUUCAAUGCGCGACUAUGCGCGGCGAUUUGCAGUACAAUCCAUCAGUAAGUUGGCAAAAGCCCUACGCCCCAUUGAACAAUAAUGUUCUUGGGUACAAGCUACAGCUUCCAAGGGCCGUGUGGAUGUAUAUGGAGGCCCCUUUAGGAGCCCUGUAGGCCCUGCCGCGGACGCUAAGCUGACGCGCGCUUGAACUGUCGACAACGCCGUGGGGCUAGGCAACUUUUCCAACGUCACUGCCGUUCUGCAGUGUCGUGCGGCGGCAGCCGACCUGUCGGCCCCGAGAUCAACUCUUUAGACAGUCCCCUACCAGAAGGACCUCCCCCCCCCACUAUUUCCUCGCUCGUUCUCGUUCAGAACAGGGUCGACCCUGACGUCAGGGUGAAUGACAACGCCUGCGGUGCGUCGGGUAGGCCCGCCCGCCAAGUGUCCGUGUGGAGAUGAUGGCCUACCCACAGUGCCUGAGCGACCCGCUCCAACCCACCCUGCAGCGAGACUACUACGUGCAACACUGUUGUAUGCGGAAAGAGUUCGUCAGGCUUUUGGUUGGGUGCUUGUGACUUUGCGAAGGAAGACUGUCCAAUAGUUGCAUCUGUCCUUGACACAGGCUAUGUGUUACCUGCAUACUGAGUUGGCAUCACAGCACACAGCAUGAGAAAUGGCCCUUUUUUUCUCAUGAUCACAGAAAAGAAUCUGGUAUUCAGAUUUGCCCAAAGUCACCAGCAGAAACAAGCCAGCUAAUUGAGCAAGAUGUACUCUCAUAAUGUAAAUGAUUU